UUCGCGAUUGCUUUGGUGUCUUGUACACACGCAGCUCACUAGAAAUCAAUUACUUCUAGGUUAUGGUUAUUUGUACUUCUUGCUUUUUCUGCCUUGCGGAAAAUGCUGCAUUUAAUAAGCGGCUAUUGAGCACGGAAGCAUGGGAUUCCCCUUACCUUAAAUCGUUGUGAUGUAAUUUUUCUCCGCAUUGUCGGGAAGUUUCAGAUUAUGUGAGACGUGCCAGUCUCGGAUAAGAGAAGCGCUCAGUCUCAAUAUAUGUACAGUGCUGUUAGUGCGAGCUGUUACCUGUUACUGAUUUCACAAUAAAAUAGUGUGUUGCUUUUGCAGUGUGUGAACAAUAAUUGCACUUGGCGACGCCAAUUUCAUUCGAGUUUGCCAUGGCGUUUAUGGACCAAAUAAACAGUGUUUCCAUGGAGAGUAAUGCAGUACAUGAUGAUCCUAUUGAUUUGUGUCUUGGGCACUAUAAUCCAGCAGGUGAUAACGAGAAGAUGGAUGCUUGCUUUUCAGCAUUUGACAAAAAUGGGGAUGGACUUAUUGAUAAAGGUGAAUUUGCAAGCAUAUGCAGAACACUUUUCCGAAAUGACAGAGGCUUUAUAUACAAUAUUGAGCAACCACAGAUUGAAGAAAUGCAUGCUGUCUUUGAUUUAAAUAAGGAUGGUUAUAUUGACAGAGAAGAGUUCAUAUUUUGCUGGGAUCGUUGGAUGAAGAAGAUUGUUCGCCCUGUGAGUGUGUUUUUGAUUGUUGAUGUCCAAAACGACUUUAUUUCGGGGUCUUUGAACAUUAGUCACUGCUCAGCCAAGCAGAAUGGAGCCGAGGUUAUCGAACCAAUAAAUAAGUUGCUGGAUACAGUCAAGUUUGAUGCUGUGUUUUAUUCCUUGGAUUGGCAUCCAAGUGAUCAUGUUUCUUUCAUUGAUAACUUGAGCCAGAGGAAAGUUCAUCCAUCAAGUCCUGUGUCAGCAGAGGAAGCACAAACAUAUGACACAGUUAUAUUUGAAGGCCCUCCACUUAUGAAGCAACGACUGUGGCCACGGCACUGUGUCCAAGAUUCAUGGGGUGCUGAAUUGCACAAAGAUUUGAAAAUUGUGGAAAAUGCUAUCAAAAUUUACAAAGGCACCAAUCCUGAAGUUGAUUCUUAUUCAGUGUUUUGGGAUAAUAAAAAACUAGCAGAUACAACAUUGUUCUCUGAAUUGAAACAGAGAAAUGCGACUGACAUUUACAUAUGUGGUCUGGCCUAUGACGUUUGUGUAGGGGCAACAGCCGCUGAUUCAUUAGCUAUUGGAUACCGAACUAUUCUGAUUGAUGACUGUUGUCGUGGAGUUGAUCUGAGAGAUAUUGAGAAGACUAGAAACACAGUCACAUCAAACAAUGGUGUCAUUGUGAACUCUACUCAGGGCCUCACAUCGGGCGGAUCGGUUACAAGGUGCAUGCAACGCCACUUCGAUGACUUGCAUGUUGGUUGAUGAGGAUGAAAUGAUGAUGAAGAGAACGCAACACCCAGUCCACAAGUGAAGAAAAUCUCUGACGCAGCCAGAAAUCGAAUAUUGGCUCCUUGGAUAGUGCCACAACAGCUGAAGCUCUGUGCUUGCCAUGACACAAAAUGUACAAAGUUAAGAGCAUGGUAGAAGGAAGAGACAGACGACCAGAACUUGGAUACAAAUUGGCUAUGGAACUGAAAAGUGCCCUACAUAAUAAAACUGAUUCAGCAGACCUUUCGGAGAAUGCCUGAUGCCUCAAAAAAUGAGCAUUAGCCUUUGCUGCUUUGUAUAUGCUCUAAAAUAUUUUUGAGAAGUGGAAACAUUUGUUUUUUUUCCCAUGAUUGCCUCAGUUCCUUUAUAUAUAUUUGUCAAACUUAAAACUCAAGUUUCAUUUCCAGACUAUAUGACUGCACCCCUAAAUGGCGAUGUGACUUACUAAAAGCAUUAAAAUUUGUAGUUAGAUCAGACAUCUGAUUCUUGUAUUAGAAAGCUGCUGGCGAAUGAUUAUUUGAAACUGGAAUACUUCACAUUUCAUUCACAUUAAGAGCGUAAUAUAAAAUCUUUAUAUAUUGUACAUAUAGUCAAUGAUAGAUUCUUGUAUGUUCAUUAACCAUCAGUCAGUCUCUUUCUUAAUUCCGCAUGGAGAAUUUACAGAGAGUGAAAUAUCAGAAUAUUUCAUGUUGUUCAGAUAUAAACAUUUUAGAGAGGACACAGUUCAAAUUACACACUUGUUCUUCAUGCUAAAUUACCAGCGAAAAACCAUCUCCUGAGAGAUUAUAAAAUGUCAGGUGUGGUACUGAGAAAUGGUGGCAUGUCUCUUAGUGCGGUUGUGUAGUGUGGCAUAAAAUGUGGCACUGCAAAAAUUAUCACCAAAUAACUAAUGUUCAUUCUACUUAGUUUUAAAAUCAUUGAUGUAAUUUGUCUUAAUUGCAUGUUAUUAAGGAUUUCAGUUAGUGCCAUGUCUAUUCACAUAUGAUCUCUUGCUCUCUCUCUCUCUCUCUCUCUCUCUCUCUCUCUCUCACACACACACACACACACACACACACACACACACACACACACACACACACACACAUGCACACACACGCACAUUUCUACUGUUAAAUGUAUGUUUUCUUAGACAUUGAACACAUUCCAGCUACAUUAGCCUUGAGUUGGGUACUUAAGUUAGCAUUUGUUUCUAAGCAGUUUAGUCCUUCACUUUUUAAUGGAAUUAUUGUAUCCUUAGGUUAAGAAGCAAGUGUACUUACAAUGCAUGCCUCUCAUCUAAAGAACAUAUAAAUAAUACACAUGAAUAAUUGGAAAGCUUCUAGUUGUAGCAACUGAAUACAAAACCCAGAAGAAAACAGAUAAAUUUUAUUUUAUGGAACACAAAAGUUGUUUUUGUUUGUGAGUAAUUACUGUAUGAGUUGCUAUUCAAGCAUUAGUGUCUGAGAUGGUUUUUGCCUGUUCUUUUAUAUCUUUGUAACAGUAAUGCAAUUGCGGAAAAUA